GACGAACGCUGGCGGCGUGCCUAAUACAUGCAAGUCGAGCGAACAGAAAAGGAGCUUGCUCCUUUGACGUUAGCGGCGGACGGGUGAGUAACACGUGGGCAACCUACCCUAUAGUUUGGGAUAACUCCGGGAAACCGGGGCUAUUACCGAAUAAUCUCUUUUGCUUCAUGGCAAGAGACUGAAAGACGGUUUCGGCUGUCGCUAUAGGAUGGGCCCGCGGCGCAUUAGCUAGUUGGUGAGGUAACGGCUCACCAAGGCGACGAUGCGUAGCCGACCUGAGAGGGUGAUCGGCCACACUGGGACUGAGACACGGCCCAGACUCCUACGGGAGGCAGCAGUAGGGAAUCUUCCACAAUGGGCGAAAGCCUGAUGGAGCAACGCCGCGUGAGUGAAGAAGGUUUUCGGAUCGUAAAACUCUGUUGUAAGGGAAGAACAAGUACAGUAGUAACUGGCUGUACCUUGACGGUACCUUAUUAGAAAGCCACGGCUAACUACGUGCCAGCCGCCGCAGUAA
rnacentral:rRNA from 1 species